ensembl:lncRNA
AUGCAUAGCACCUGUCUGGAUGGAUGUGUGUGAGUUGUGGUUCAUUGCCAUAGUUGCCAACAGUUUGGUAUAUUAAUAGUUUAUUGGAGCAUCUCUUGAAAAUAAUGAACAAAAACGGAGAUAGAAGCCACAUUAAAGAUCCGUAGAGGUCACUUGAACUCAGGACAGCAGAUGUUUGUGUCAUCACAAACUAUUCAUCACAAUUUCUAGUGAUUACUGUUUUACAACAAAUCUUAUGUUAACAUUAAAAUAAGUAAAUAAGCUGAAAUACAAACUGACGUCAAAUUCUCUGAAGUACGGAAGCCCAGAGCGACCAAGACAUUGAGUAAGGCUAACAGUUCCUGGGUUCCACAGCUCCUCCAAAGUGUCUUACUGUUUCUUUAAGACAAAGUCUAUACAGAGAGCCUAGAAAUGAUGAAUAUAUUCACAAUUUUUGUGCCAUCUCUUUAAAAUGUAACUUUAAAAUAAACACCUGAGCCAUAUACAGACAGAGUGACAACAACACUUGGACCCAAGCUUUAUAUAAAGCGUUAUUAUGGUUAAACCAAAGCCAUAUGAAGGUGGGGUUGUUCGAGUUAGUCCAGUUAAACCAGUUAUUCUAGCGCCAUGUACAGGUGGAGUUGUUCCAGGUAGUCCAGAGACAUGUACAGGUGGAGUUGUUCCAGGUAGUCCAGAGACAUGUACAGGUGGAGUUGCUCCAGUUAGUCCAGAGACAUGUACAGGUGGAGUUGCUCCAGUUAGUCCAGAUUGUACAUGUGGAGUUGUUCCAGUUUGUCCAGAGACAUGUACAUGUGGAGCUGUUCCAGUUAGUCCAGAGACAUGUACAUGUGGAGCUGUUCCAGGUAGUCCAGAGACAUGUACAGGUGGAGUUGUUCCAGUUAGUCCAGAUUGUGCAUGUGGAGUUGUUCCAGGUAGUCCAGAGACAUGUACAGGUGGAGGUGUUCCAGUUAGUCCAGAGACACGUACAGGUGGAGUUGUUCCAGGUAGUCCAGAGACAUGUACAGGUGGAGUUGCUCCAGUUAGUCCAGAGACAUGUACAGGUGGAGUUGCUCCAGUUAGUCCAGAUUGUACAUGUGGAGUUGUUCCAGUUUGUCCAGAGACAUGUACAUGUGGAGCUGUUCCAGGUAGUCCAGAGACAUGUACAGGUGGAGUUGUUCCAGUUAGUCCAGAGACACGUACAGGUGGAGUUGUUCCAGUUAGUCCAGAUUGUACAUGUGGAGUUGUUCCAGGUAGUCCAGAGACAUGUACAGGUGGAGGUGUACCAGUUAGUCCAGAGACACGUACAGGUGGAUGUCGGCGUGCACUUUGUCGGAGGUUUCAGGAUACAGUAACACGAAAUAACAGAGAUGAUGCCAGACUAACUUCAAAAAGGAAACAUGCAUUGUUAAGGUAAACCUAGCAUCAGGGGUUGAAAUAGUUUGGAGGUCAGGUCCAACUCUGCGAGGUGAGAGUUGAUUGACAGGUUUGAGAUUGGUUGAUUAGAGAACCAAUCAGAGAGGAGCAGCCGGUUGUUCAGGAGUUGCCGGAGUUCCGGAAUUCACCAUUCUCUGUGAUCUGCAGAGACGAGGCGUUGCUUGGAGACAGGCCGUUCCUCUGUGAUGUCACUGCGUACCGCUCCUUCAGUUGAGUCACAGCAGCCAUCAGACGACUGUUAGCUGCAUCCAGACUGGAUAUCCU